rnacentral:rRNA from 14 species
CGAGACAAACCGCCCGGCGCUAAGGGAUCCUUCACGGGCGCAAAGCCGGCAAAGCUGGCGAGCGCGACGGAUCCAAUGGCCGCCUCGGCCGCCUCCUCUUUUGUUUGGGCU